AAUUAUUUUGUGUAUUAUAACGCCAGUGAGAACUCUGAAAUUCCCCUACUUUCACUUUCAUUUUUAGAGGUUCCCGCAGACAGACGCAUUUUGCCGGAAAACGAAUCUGACAUGCCACCUCGAGAUUUUAACCAAGGAAAGACAAGUUGAUGUGCUUUGAUUUGAGGGGUCACUCAUUUCUGAACGAAAAUUAGGGACAUCGCUAUGAGACGAAACGUUAACAUUGUCGCCUAUGGGAAAACAAUUAGUGGACUGUACCCAUAUUGGGAAGCCUUUAAGUUCAUGGCGAUUGGUAAAGAAAAACCAUGAGGUUCAUGCAGAUGGUGUUUAAAAUUAUUGGCCAGCAAAUACACACCCAUGUGAAUACAUCUAGAAACAUCACCAGCAAAAUCUGACAGUCGGCAAAAUGUAGGUUCCCGCAGACAGACGCAUUUUGCCGGAAAACGAAUCUGACAUGCCACCUCGAGAUUUUAACCAAGGAAAGACAAGUUGAUGUGCUUUGAUUUGAGGGGUCACUCAUUUCUGAACGAAAAUUAGGGACAUCGCUAUGAGACGAAACGUUAACAUUGUCGCCUAUGGGAAAACAAUUAGUGGACUGUACCCAUAUUGGGAAGCCUAUAAGUUCAUGGCGAUUGGUAAAGAAAAACCAUGAGGUUCAUGCAGAUGGUGUUUAAAAUUAUUGGCCAGCAAAUACACACCCAUGUGAAUACAUCUAGAAACAUCACCAGCAAAAUCUGACAGUCGGCAAAAUGUAGGUUCCCGCAGACAGACGCAUUUUGCCGGAAAACGAAUCUGACAUGCCACCUCGAGAUUUUAACCAAGGAAAGACAAGUUGAUGUGCUUUGAUUUGAGGGGUCACUCAUUUCUGAACGAAAAUUAGGGACAUCGCUAUGAGACGAAACGUUAACAUUGUUGCCUAUGGGAAAACAAUUAGUGGACUGUACCCAUAUUGGGAAGCCUAUAAGUUCAUGGCGAUUGGUAAAGAAAAACCAUGAGGUUCAUGCAGAUGGUGUUUAAAAUUAUUGGCCAGCAAAUACACACCCAUUUGAAUACAUCUUGAAACAUCACCAGCAAAAUGUGACAGUCGGCAAAAUGUAGGUUCCCGCAGACAGACGCAUUUUGCCGGAAAACGAAUCUGACAUGCCACCUCGAGAUUUUAACCAAGGAAAGACAAGUUGAUGUGCUUUGAUUUGAGGGGUCACUCAUUUCUGAACGAAAAUUAGGGACAUCGCUAUGAGACGAAACGUUAACAUUGUCGCCUAUGGGAAAACAAUUAGUGGACUGUACCCAUAUUGGGAAGCCUUUAAGUUCAUGGCGAUUGGUAAAGAAAAACCAUGAGGUUCAUGCAGAUGGUGUUUAAAAUUAUUGGCCAGCAAAUACACACCCAUGUGAAUACAUCUAGAAACAUCACCAGCAAAAUCUGACAGUCGGCAAAAUGUAGGUUCCCGCAGACAGACGCAUUUUGCCGGAAAACGAAUCUGACAUGCCACCUCGAGAUUUUAACCAAGGAAAGACAAGUUGAUGUGCUUUGAUUUGAGGGGUCACUCAUUUCUGAACGAAAAUUAGGGACAUCGCUAUGAGACGAAACGUUAACAUUGUCGCCUAUGGGAAAACAAUUAGUGGACUGUACCCAA